ensembl:lncRNA
ACACCAGCUGUUCUCUCUUCCCAGAGGGCUUCUCCUUUAGUUCUUCUCUUGUCUGGUUGUCCCUCAGGCUUCUGGGCCCACAGAAAUGGCACCUUCUCAGAGAGGCCUUCCCUGAUGGCCCCGUUCAGUAUGGGCCUCACUUUCCCUCACCCCUCACUCUUAUCUCAACAUCCUGUUUCUUUUCUAGCAUUUAUUAUAAUUUGCAAUUAUUUUAUGUGUCUACUCACUUAGGUGACCUCUACCUCUCUGCCAGACUGCACGCUGUAUGAGAGCAAGGGCUCAGUGUUCCCUUUCAGUGCCUGGCAUACAGUAAGCACUGAAUGAAUGGCCACCAAGUGAAGGGGGAGAAAUACAGAAUCAGAUCAUGUGAGGCAUAAACACAGUCAUAAGAACAGAAGCAGGAGCAUGUUCUCCCCUGAGGGGUUGCUGUGUUUUCUUUGGACAUGACACCACUAACCCACACAAGGACCUAGCAAGACAAAUGGCAUCAUCUUCAAUGUACACCCGUGAAAAUGAAGUCUCAGAGAAGCUUGAUGAGGUCAUAUAGUCGGGAAUUCAAGCUGCAUGCUUCCACAUUCACUCUUGCCCUGAGCCUUUGGACAAAAAGCCCUGGGUAGGAAAUGAAAAAGGAAGGACCUGAGCCCUGCCCUGCCUCCUGCACAGCCAGCCCUCACCCACAGGCACCGCAUCUGGGAAUAGCUCGCUCAGUUCCCUUUUGUGACCCUCGCCUCAUGACCCUAUCAGGACUGUAUGCAUAUUCACAGAAGCACAGGCAUAAUGCUGUCAACUUUAGAAAACAGAAGGAUGGUUGGAGUUCUAAACCUGUUCUUCAACCAAGAACAAGUUGAAACUGAGCUCAAGUGACAGCAAGAGGACCCUGCUGCUGCCGCUGCUAAGUCGCUUCAGUCGUGUCCGAUUCUGUGUGACCCUGGAGCCAAGUAAUUUGGAUGUUCCUGGAGGAGACACUCUCCCUUCCUGUUUGUCAGUUCCCCUUUCGGUACAACAAGGGAGCUGGCUCUCAGAUGACUCCUAAAUGCCUUUAUUCCUAUAUAAGCAGCAUGGUCACUGGGAAGGAUAGACGCUGGCAUCAGCCAGAUUCAGGCUUUUCUGCCUAUCUGAGCCUUUGUCUUCCCACCUGUGAGAUUGGAAUUGGGUCUAAUUUGCUAGUUUUUCCAUCCUUCCUGUCUGGCACAGGAAAUACAAUAGGAGCUCCAUUAAUCCUGGUCACCCCCUUCAUCUGGCGUCAGAUUAUAUAUGGGAGGACUCACGGGUGCAGAAGGCUGACCGUGUGAGCUGCUUCUGAGAGUGCAGGGUAUCUGAACCUCCACUCUAGGGAACCAGGGGCAUCCAGGUAGUACCUGAGGACCAAGCGUAACACCACACAAAGCCUCUCCCUGCCCCAUCUUCCCCAGUGCCCAUGCCCUCUCCAACUGGCCCAGCCCCCUGAAUCUGGAUUCCCACACAUCUCUCAGAAUCUCCCACGAGCAGCUUCAGGACUUUGGGUUGCAGGAUGCAGAGAGAUGAAUAUUAGAUAUCCCCGCAGGCCUCCCCAGCAAGCCUUCUUUCUUAUGAAUGCUUCUGAGAUACUCCCAGGAGCUGUGCUCGCCUGGCA